rnacentral:rRNA from 1 species
UUAAGCGACUAAGCGUACACGGUGGAUGCCCUGGCAGUCAGAGGCGAUGAAGGACGUGCUAAUCUGCGAUAAGCGUCGGUGAGGUGAUAUGAACCGUUAUAACCGGCGAUUUCCGAAUGGGGAAACCCAGUGUGUUUCGACACACUAUCAUUAACUGAAUCCAUAGGUUAAUGAGGCGAACCGGGGGAACUGAAACAUCUAAGUACCCCGAGGAAAAGAAAUCAACCGAGAUUCCCCCAGUAGCGGCGAGCGAACGGGGAGGAGCCCAGAGCCUGAAUCAGUGUGUGUGUUAGUGGAAGCGUCUGGAAAGGCGUGCGAUACAGGGUGACAGCCCCGUACACAAAAAUGCACAUAUUGUGAGCUCGAUGAGUAGGGCGGGACACGUGGUAUCCUGUCUGAAUAUGGGGGGACCAUCCUCCCAAGGCUAAAUACUCCUGACUGACCGAUAGUGAACCAGUACCGUGAGGGAAAGGCGAAAAGAACCCCGGCGAGGGGAGUGAAAAAGAACCUGAAACCGUGUACGUACAAGCAGUGGGAGCCUCUUAAUGGGGUGACUGCGUACCUUUUGUAUAAUGGGUCAGCGACUUAUAUUCUGUAGCAAGGUUAACCGAAUAGGGGAGCCGAAGGGAAACCGAGUCUUAACUGGGCGUUAAGUUGCAGGGUAUAGACCCGAAACCCGGUGAUCUAGCCAUGGGCAGGUUGAAGGUUGGGUAACACUAACUGGAGGACCGAACCGACUAAUGUUGAAAAAUUAGCGGAUGACUUGUGGCUGGGGGUGAAAGGCCAAUCAAACCGGGAGAUAGCUGGUUCUCCCCGAAAGCUAUUUAGGUAGCGCCUCGUGAAUUCAUCUCCGGGGGUAGAGCACUGUUUCGGCAAGGGGGUCAUCCCGACUUACCAACCCGAUGCAAACUGCGAAUACCGGAGAAUGUUAUCACGGGAGACACACGGCGGGUGCUAACGUCCGUCGUGAAGAGGGAAACAACCCAGACCGCCAGCUAAGGUCCCAAAGUCAUGGUUAAGUGGGAAACGAUGUGGGAAGGCCCAGACAGCCAGGAUGUUGGCUUAGAAGCAGCCAUCAUUUAAAGAAAGCGUAAUAGCUCACUGGUCGAGUCGGCCUGCGCGGAAGAUGUAACGGGGCUAAACCAUGCACCGAAGCUGCGGCAGCGACACUAUGUGUUGUUGGGUAGGGGAGCGUUCUGUAAGCCUGUGAAGGUGGCCUGUGAGGGUUGCUGGAGGUAUCAGAAGUGCGAAUGCUGACAUAAGUAACGAUAAAGCGGGUGAAAAGCCCGCUCGCCGGAAGACCAAGGGUUCCUGUCCAACGUUAAUCGGGGCAGGGUGAGUCGACCCCUAAGGCGAGGCCGAAAGGCGUAGUCGAUGGGAAACAGGUUAAUAUUCCUGUACUUGGUGUUACUGCGAAGGGGGGACGGAGAAGGCUAUGUUGGCCGGGCGACGGUUGUCCCGGUUUAAGCGUGUAGGCUGGUUUUCCAGGCAAAUCCGGAAAACCAAGGCUGAGGCGUGAUGACGAGGCACUACGGUGCUGAAGCGACAAAUGCCCUGCUUCCAGGAAAAGCCUCUAAGCAUCAGGUAACAUCAAAUCGUACCCAAAACCGACACAGGUGGUCAGGUAGAGAAUACCAAGGCGCUUGAGAGAACUCGGGUGAAGGAACUAGGCAAAAUGGUGCCGUAACUUCGGGAGAAGGCACGCUGAUAUGUAGGUGAAGCGACUUGCUCGUGGAGCUGAAAUCAGUCGAAGAUACCAGCUGGCUGCAACUGUUUAUUAAAAACACAGCACUGUGCAAACACGAAAGUGGACGUAUACGGUGUGACGCCUGCCCGGUGCCGGAAGGUUAAUUGAUGGGGUUAGCGGUAACGCGAAGCUCUUGAUCGAAGCCCCGGUAAACGGCGGCCGUAACUAUAACGGUCCUAAGGUAGCGAAAUUCCUUGUCGGGUAAGUUCCGACCUGCACGAAUGGCGUAAUGAUGGCCAGGCUGUCUCCACCCGAGACUCAGUGAAAUUGAACUCGCUGUGAAGAUGCAGUGUACCCGCGGCAAGACGGAAAGACCCCGUGAACCUUUACUAUAGCUUGACACUGAACAUUGAGCCUUGAUGUGUAGGAUAGGUGGGAGGCUUUGAAGUGUGGACGCCAGUCUGCAUGGAGCCGACCUUGAAAUACCACCCUUUAAUGUUUGAUGUUCUAACGUUGGCCCGUAAUCCGGGUUGCGGACAGUGUCUGGUGGGUAGUUUGACUGGGGCGGUCUCCUCCUAAAGAGUAACGGAGGAGCACGAAGGUUGGCUAAUCCUGGUCGGACAUCAGGAGGUUAGUGCAAUGGCAUAAGCCAGCUUGACUGCGAGCGUGACGGCGCGAGCAGGUGCGAAAGCAGGUCAUAGUGAUCCGGUGGUUCUGAAUGGAAGGGCCAUCGCUCAACGGAUAAAAGGUACUCCGGGGAUAACAGGCUGAUACCGCCCAAGAGUUCAUAUCGACGGCGGUGUUUGGCACCUCGAUGUCGGCUCAUCACAUCCUGGGGCUGAAGUAGGUCCCAAGGGUAUGGCUGUUCGCCAUUUAAAGUGGUACGCGAGCUGGGUUUAGAACGUCGUGAGACAGUUCGGUCCCUAUCUGCCGUGGGCGCUGGAGAACUGAGGGGGGCUGCUCCUAGUACGAGAGGACCGGAGUGGACGCAUCACUGGUGUUCGGGUUGUCAUGCCAAUGGCACUGCCCGGUAGCUAAAUGCGGAAGAGAUAAGUGCUGAAAGCAUCUAAGCACGAAACUUGCCCCGAGAUGAGUUCUCCCUGACUCCUUGAGGGUCCUGAAGGAACGUUGAAGACGACGACGUUGAUAGGCCGGGUGUGUAAGCGCAGCGAUGCGUUGAGCUAACCGGUACUAAUGAACCGUGAGGCUUAACCUU